rnacentral:rRNA from 1 species
GGAUAACGUUUGGAAACGAACGCUAAUACCGCAUGAUAUUAUUGAGCUGCAUGGCUUGAUAAUCAAAGGAGCAAUCCGCUGAAAGAUGGGCUCGCGUCCGAUCAGGUAGUUGGCGGGGCAACGGCCCACCAAGCCGACGAUCGGUAGCCGGACUGAGAGGUUGAACGGCCACAUUGGGACUGAGACACGGCCCAGACUCCUACGGGAGGCAGCAGUGAGGGAUAUUGGUCAAUGGGGGAAACCCUGAACCAGCAACGCCGCGUGAGGGAAGACGGUUUUCGGAUUGUAAACCUCUGUCCUCUGUGAAGAUAAUGACGGUAGCAGAGGAGGAAGCUCCGGCUAACUACGUGCCAGCAGCCGCGGUAAUACGUAGGGAGCAAGCGUUGUCCGGAUUUACUGGGUGUAAAGGGUGCGUAGGCGGCUUUGCAAGUCAGAAGUGAAAUCCGUGGGCUUAACCCAUGAACUGCUUUUGAAACUGCAGAGCUUGAGUGGAGUAGAGGUAGGCGGAAUUCCCGGUGUAGCGGUGAAAUGCGUAGAGAUCGGGAGGAACACCAGUGGCGAAGGCGGCCUGCUGGGCUCUAACUGACGCUGAGGCACGAAAGCGUGGGUAGCAAACAGGAUUAGAUACCCUGGUAGUCCACGCUGUAAACGAUGAUUACUAGGUGUGGGUGGACUGACCCCAUCCGUGCCGGA